AUUGAACGCUGGCGGCAGGCAUAACACAUGCAAGUCGAACGAGUGGCGGACGGGUGAGUAAUGUAUGGGAAACUGCCUGAUGGAGGGGGAUAACUACUGGAAAAGGUAGCUAAUACCGCAUCCCAUCGGAUGUGCCCAGAUGGGAUUAGCGAGUAGGUGGGGUAAAGGCUCACCUAGGCGACGAUCACUAGCUGGUCUGAGAGGAUGACCAGCCACACUGGAACUGAGACACGGUCCAGACUCCUACGGGAGGCAGCAGUGGGGAAUAUUGCACAAUGGGCGCAAGCCUGAUGCAGCCAUGCCGCGUGUAUGAAGAAGGCCUUCGGGUUGUAAAGUACUUUCAGCGGGGAGGCGUUACCCUCAGAAGAAGCACCGGCUAACUCCGUGCCAGCAGCCGCGGUAAUUC
rnacentral:rRNA from 1 species